UUAUGGUAACCACUCACCAUCAGGUAUGC
rnacentral:sRNA from 1 species